GUGCCAGCAGCCGCGGUAAUACGUAGGUGGCAAGCGUUAUCCGGAAUUAUUGGGCGUAAAGCGCGCGUAGGCGGUUUUUUAAGUCUGAUGUGAAAGCCCACGGCUCAACCGUGGAGGGUCAUUGGAAACUGGAAAACUUGAGUGCAGAAGAGGAAAGUGGAAUUCCAUGUGUAGCGGUGAAAUGCGCAGAGAUAUGGAGGAACACCAGUGGCGAAGGCGACUUUCUGGUCUGUAACUGACGCUGAUGUGCGAAAGCGUGGGGAUGAACAGGAUUAGAUA
rnacentral:rRNA from 1 species